UUUAUUUGAGAGUUUGAUCCUGGCUCAGGAUGAACGCUGGCGGCGUGCCUAACACAUGCAAGUUGAGCGAUUUACUUCGGUAAAGAGCGGCGGACGGGUGAGUAACGCGUGGGUAACCUACCCUGUACACACGGAUAACAUACCGAAAGGUAUGCUAAUACGGGAUAAUAUAUUUGAGAGGCAUCUCUUGAAUAUCAAAGGUGAGCUAGUACAGGAUGGACCCGCGUCUGAUUAGCUAGUUGGUAAGGUAACGGCUUACCAAGGCGACGAUCAGUAGCCGACCUGAGAGGGUGAUCGGCCACAUUGGAACUGAGACACGGUCCAAACUC
rnacentral:rRNA from 1 species